CUCUAUGGGAAUAGAGUUCCAAGGAAAGAGAAAGGCAAGAGCAAAGGCCCUGAGGGAGAACAAGCUUGGUUGUUCUAGGAACAGAAAGAAACCUGACUGGAGCAAGGGGGCUAGGGGAGAGAAGUAUAAAAUGAGACCCAAGAGGUUAUACCUACUCAUACACUGGAAUGAAGAGCUCUUCAUAUGGCAUCUUGUCCUAAAUGAAACCAAAAUUCAAAAGAAAAAAAGAAGAAAAAAUUCCACGGAGAGAUCUUGUCCCAUGAGAUAUAAAUUAUAAGCUAAUAUAGGACAGUCAAGACAAUUUAAAAAUAAUUUUUUGGAUUAUAAUGACGUGUAUUGAUUGGCCUUGUCUACAAAACAAUGAUAACAAAAAUUAAAUAAUA
rnacentral:lncRNA from 1 species